rnacentral:lncRNA from 1 species
CCGGGCUAAGCAGCCAAGACAAGGCGAACAGUGUGACAGAGCUAGUGUGAGUGAGCUGCUGCUAAGAGAGUUACUGAAUAAAACAACCUUUCACCUGCCUACAGCCCCCGCAGCGUUCUUUCAGCUAUCUGCUCGUCCAUCCACUCGCUUCGGACCUCAGCAUGAGCUGGAACCUGACUCCAAACAGGACAGAGAGUAGUACCAUUGUUACCCAGCAACUCUUCAACCCCCCUUUGGAAGUAGCAACUUAGCUGUACCUGACUGCCACUUUAAAACUACUAUUUUUGACAUUAGGAAUUGAAAAUAAUUGUGAAUGCACCCAUUCUUGGAAAACCAGGCAAGAGGUUUCCCUGGACCCUUGAAGCAUGAGAAGAGAUCUAUGAAAGGCUAAAUUACUGUUGCUAGCAAAGGAAGGCUCACAUGGGUGAAGCUGUGAUCAGAAGCAUAAGAUCCCUGGGCUGCACUAUGGUGGGUACUCUUAAGAAUGACCUCCAAUCUAGAAAUGACACUUUUAACCUGUAGGAUGUGGCCUGGUAUUAAGGGCGUACAAGGCUUAAGGCCAGCUGUUAAGUUAAUAAGGCGAUAACAAGCAGGCCACAGAGGGUAAACGCUGCGACUUGCCCAGAAGCCAGCUGGCAAGAGGCAGGUAAGACGCAAGCUUGCCUUGGCAGUCAUCUACCAUGGAGCAGACAAGUGUUUCUUUGUCACACGCCCGAACUCUGGCCCAGCUAACAAUGCCUAGGCAUUGUCCAAAAUUGGGUCAGCUCAAAAAAAACAAAACAAAAACAAAAAACUCCUCAUUUUUGGUUCUAAAGACAAGCUGCAGAGUGACUGCUAGAAAUCUUUCCCUGGCGCACCACUCACCCUGGGCCUUCUUUGACCAGUACGAGGUCACAGCAAAGGAAAACACAUUCCCAUUAAUGAGGCAUCAGUGAGAAUGAAAGGCUCAAGAAACUCAAUGUAGCCCUCACUUGUUUGAAAACAAAUUCCUUAAAUCACAACAAGGUUCAGAGGUAGGGAGCUCAAGUCAAUCCUGAAGUAGCCUUAGUAACUGUUAGGAUAAAUGCGUAAGUCUGUGCCUGCCCUGGCACUGAAGAAAACACCAGGCCAGAUGGCUUCACCAACUCUCCACCAUCUGGCUUCCUUCAGUGAUCUACUUGCUUUCCCUUAUCUUACAUUUCUAUUUUACAUCCUUUUCUCUUUCCCCAAUUCCCCCUCACCAACACCUUCUUCACUCUCAGCCCAUAAUCUUGUGUUCAACUGAGGAAACAAGCCACCAGAAGAGAAGGUCCUCACACUUCCACCACAAACUGCCAGUUUCCACCUCCAAACCUACAGCUGCCCUGCACUUGUUCCCAUUCCUCUACCUUCCUCCCCAUGAUAAGAGAUGACCUCUCUUCUUCCCACCCCCACCCAACACCCUCUACUUGUGUACAGAUUUCACCUCCUAUCCACCCAAAUACAUGACACCCAUAACAACAGAUCCCUUCUUUCUUUUUAUUCUGGUGCAGAAACACAUAACAUAAAAUUUACCAUCUAAACUGUUUUCAAGUGUACAGUUUAGUAGUGUUAAGUAUAUUCAGGCUGUUGUGAAACAAAUCUCCAGAACUUUUUCAUCUUGCAAAUGUGAAACUCUAUGCCCAUGAAGUAACUCUUCUUUAGGCCCUUCCCUCAGCCCUGGUAACCACCAUUCUACUUUCUGUUUCUAUGAGUUUGACUAUUCUAGCUGCCUUAUAUAAGGAGAAUCAUACAGCAUUUCUCUUUUGGUGACUGUCGUAUUAUGCUUAACAUAAGGUCCUCAAGGUUCAUCCAUGUUGUAGCAUGUAUCAGAAUUUCCUUCCUUUUUAAGACUGAAAAAUAUUCCAUUGUACGUUGUAUCACGAUUUAUAGCAGUCACUCUGUAGCUUGUCUUUAGAACCAAGAAGGAGGAGUUUUUUACUUUGAACUGACCCAAUUUUGGACAAUGCCUAAGCAUUGCUAGCUGGGCCAGAAUGAACGGACACGUGGAGUGCUUCUACUUCUUGGCUAUUGUGAAUAGUGCUGUUAUAAACAUGUAAGUAAAAGUAACUCUUCAGACCCUGCGUUCAUUUCCUUUGGAUACAUACCCUGAGGUGGAAUUGCUGGAUAAUAUCGUAGUUCUCUUUUUUGAGCAUUUUUUGA